GCCGUCGGUGGCGCAAUGGUUAGCAUACGCUCCCGGAAAGGUAGUGAUAUCUGGGUUCGAAUUCUAGCUGACGCA